CAUGGUUGUCGUCAGCUCGUGUCGUGAGAUGUUGGGUUAAGUCCCGCAACGAGCGCAACCCUUAUUGUUAGUUGCCAUCAUUUAGUUGGGCACUCUAGCGAGACUGCCGGUGACAAACCGGAGGAAGGUGGGGAUGACGUCAAAUCAUCAUGCCCCUUAUGACCUGGGCUACACACGUGCUACAAUGGGAAGUACAACGAGUCGCUAGACCGCGAGGUCAUGCAAAUCUCUUAAAGCUUCUCUCAGUUCGGAUUGCAGGCUGCAACUCGCCUGCAUGAAGCCGGAAUCGCUAGUAAUCGCGGAUCAGCACGCCGCGGUGAAUACGUUCCCGGGCCUUGUACACACCGCCCGUCACACCACGAGAGUUUGUAACACCCGAAGUCGGUGAGGUAACCUUUUUGGAGCCAGCCGCCUAAGGUGGGAUAGAUGAUUGGGGUGAAGUCGUAACAAGGUAGCCGUAUCGGAAGGUGCGGCUGGAUCACCUCCUUUCUAAGGAA
rnacentral:rRNA from 1 species